UAGAUUAGCGCCUGAACUAUAAAUAGUUGACGAGGAUGGUAGUUAUCGAAUUUUCGGCGGAUGCUACUUUGGGUUAUAUGCUCAUAGGUUAUUAUUAAAAAGCAAAAUUAACAUUGUAACAAAGUAAUAACUAAAUA
rnacentral:ncRNA from 2 species